GUAAUCAUGUGACUCUCUGCAGUGAGAUGGACGACGACGUGGAGGCCAUCUUUGAAGAUGAGGAGGAGAUCUCAGAGGGCGACGUGGACGACUCCUUCAGGUCCAUGUUCGCUCAGCUGUCAGGAGACGACAUGGAGAUCUCAGUACGAGAACUCAGAACCAUCCUGAACCGGGUCGUGUCCAAACGUAAGUUUUAUAAUAAUUAAAGGAGGAACAUGAUCACAGAUCAGUGCUGACA